GGUCAAGCGGAAUAAAGCGCACGGUGGAUGCCUUGGCAUCAAAGGCCGAAGAAGGGCGUGGCAAGACUGCGAUAAGCCUCGGCGAGCUGUCUAGCAAGCCUAGCCGGGGAUUCCCGAAUGGAGCAAUCCAUCCCGAUAAAAUCGGGAUACCCCCAGCCAAACACAUAAGCUGGGUGGAGGUAAGUGGGGGAAUUGAAACAUCUUAGUACCCCGAGGAAAAAAUAAACAUUCCCCUAGUAGUGGCGAACGAACGGGGAACAGCCUAAACC
rnacentral:ncRNA from 1 species